AGUGUUUACUGGAUGAUUUCAUGGCUAUGUGGCACCAGGAGAGCAGAUCAAGGAAGUUGUUAGGGUGGGGGAGGGAAAGGAUUACAAACAAGUUUGGCAGCUGGAAGAGGAUUUUUCUUCCGUAAUGCUGCAUACGUACUCUCUUCCACUGCUGACAACCACGGGCCCCUAGGUAAAUCCUCAGCCAGCCACAGGUUGUGCCUAGACUGUUCCCAUCAGCAGAGUAUCCCAGCACCUUACAGUUGUACACUAAGCAACAUUUCCAAGCACUGUGCAGACACUGAUCCCUAGAUCACUCCUGUGAAGCAGGUAGAAAAAUGAAGCCUACACACUUGCCAUCCCUGUUACUGACCUGCUUUCUUCUACAUGAGGCUGCCUGUAAACCCUUAAAACCCAAUUGUGAUCUUGUAAAAUGCAAGACAUGUCCAAAGCAACAUAUCGCGGUGGCGUCCAAGAACAAGUGCUGCGCAACCUGCGUCCCUAUGUGUUCCUGCCCUGACUACCAGGAGUUUGAAUGCAACAUGCAAGGCUUUAAAGAUGGAAAGAUCCCCCUUGGAAAGUCUUACUACAUAGACUUUGCCACCACGAAGUGCACCUGUGUUUCUCCCGGGAAUAUUUCCUGCACCUCGCUUUGCCCUACGGUUUCUCCCACGUGCAAGGAAACAGGAAGAGUGGCUGAUGGCUGCCCUCAAUGCAUCUGUCCCAUUGAGGAUUACAGUUUUGUAGUUGCUGGAAGUACCAUCCAAAGAGAUGCGGAGACUUGCAAAUGUCCCCCUGAAGGUGGCGAGCUUCAGUGCACCCCCUCUAAAUCUCACAUUGCUAGUCCACCCAGUGCCAACGCAGAGUAGGCCCUGCUCUCAGCAUGAGCUAACUGUCAGUGCCGAGGGAAGUUCUUUGUGGUAGAGGAGAAGUUCAGCAGUGUCCUUGGGCAGCUUAUGGAAAACUCACACAGAAUAUAAAAGAAAUGGACUGCCUUGCUAGAGGUGUUUUUGGUGGGGGUCCAGUGGCAGAACAGUAAAAUCAUCUCAUGAAGGCUCCAGAGAUCAUGCCCCACUCUGGAUUCAUGCCAUAGCCUAGUGAAGGGCCAAACUUUUUGGCAGGAAUGCCAUGAAUUAACCCCACACCCUCCCUGAGGGCCCGUCUGAUCCCCUUCUCCU